UCAUUGCCGAGGAGUCCCACAAUAGGACGAAACGACCUUCCAGUGC
rfam:Schistosoma mansoni strain Puerto Rico chromosome 5, complete genome